rnacentral:rRNA from 1 species
AGGACGAACGCUGGCGGCGUGCCUAACACAUGCAAGUCGAGCGGAGUCAGUAAGAGGAAGUUUCGGAUGGAAUCUGUUGAUUAGCGGCGGACGGGUGAGUAACGCGUGAGCGACCAACCUUGCACAGGGGGAUAACGGACCGAAAGGUUCACUAAUACCGCAUGAGACCACGGUGUUGCAUGACACAGAGGUCAAAGGAGCAAUCCGGUGCAAGACGGGCUCGCGUCCGAUUAGGUAGUUGGAGGGUAACGGCCCACCAAGCCUAUGAUCGGUAGCCGACCUGAGAGGGUGAUCGGCCACAUUGGAACUGAGAUACGGUCCAAACUCCUACGGGAGGCAGCAGUGGGGAAUAUUGGGCAAAUGGGGGAAACCCUGACCCAGCAACGCCGCGUGAAGGAAGAAGGUUUUCGGAUUGUAAACUUCUGUCCUUGGUGAAGAGAAGAAGACGGUAGCCAAGGAGGAAGCCCCGGCUAACUACGUGCCAGCCGCCGC